GCUGGGCAUGGUGGCGAGUGCCUGUGGUCCCAGCUACUGGGGAGGCUGAGGCAGAAGGAUUGCUUGAGUCCAGGAGUUCUGGGCUGUAAUGCGCUACCCUGAUCAAGUAUCUGCACUAAGUUUGGCAUCAGUAUGGUGGCCUCCCAGGAGCUGGGGACCACCAGGUUGCCUAAGGAGGGGUAAACCAAGACAGAAAUGGAGCAGGUCAAAACUCCCAUGCUCAUCAAUAGUGGGAUCACGCUGGUGAAUAUCCACUGCUCUCCAGCCUAGGCAACAUAGCAAGACCCCAUCU
rnacentral:SRP_RNA from 10 species